GGCUCAGAACGAACGCGGCGGGCGUGCUUAACACAUGCAAGUCGAACGCGAAAGGGACUUCGGUCCUGAGUAAAGUGGCGCACGGGUGAGUAACGCGUGGAUAAUCUACCCAAUGGUCUGGGAUAACAUUUCGAAAGGGGUGCUAAUACCGGAUAAGACCACGGAGUCUUUGGACUCUGCGGUAAAAGGUGGGGACCUUCGGGCCUACCGCAAUUGGAUGAGUCCGCGUACCAUUAGCUAGUUGGUAGGGUAAAGGCCUACCAAGGCGACGAUGGUUAGCUGGUCUGAGAGGAUGAUCAGCCACACUGGAACUGAGACACGGUCCAGACUCCUACGGGAGGCAGCAGUGGGGAAUUUUGCGCAAUGGGGGAAACCCUGACGCAGCAACGCCGCGUGAGUGAUGAAGGCCUUCGGGUCGUAAAGCUCUGUCAGAGGGGAAGAAAUGCGGGGUGCUAAUAUCACUUCCGCUUGACGGUACCCUCAAAGGAAGCACCGGCUAACUCCGUGCCAGCAGCCGCGGUAAUACGGAGGGUGCGAGCGUUGUUCGGAAUUAUUGGGCGUAAAGCGCGUGUAGGCGGUUUGUUAAGUCUGAUGUGAAAGCCCCGGGCUCAACCUGGGAAGUGCAUUGGAAACUGGCAGACUUGAAUACGGGAGAGGGUAGUGGAAUUCCUAGUGUAGGAGUGAAAUCCGUAGAUAUUAGGAGGAACACCGGUGGCGAAGGCGGCUGCCUGGACCGAUAUUGACGCUGAGACGCGAAAGCGUGGGGAGCAAACAGGAUUAGAUACCCUGGUAGUCCACGCCGUAAACGAUGAGUACUAGGUGUUGCGGGUAUUGACCCCUGCAGUGCCGCAGCUAACGCAUUAAGUACUCCGCCUGGGAAGUACGGCCGCAAGGCUAAAACUCAAAG
rnacentral:rRNA from 1 species